CUCUUCCCCACGCACGAGCGGGCGCACCGCCGCCGCCGCCGCCUUCCUCGCGGAGUCUGCGGCCGAAGGAUCGGUCGGGGCGCACCGGGUCUAGGACGGCCUUCUGUGGGGCGCAGUGCGAGCUCUCGGCUCGGGGCAGGAGGCGGCUCGAUGAAGAGGACGUGGGGCGCAUCGCUCCUCUCCUGGUGUGACGCACGAGGGAAGGAGGAGGGGAUCGACCCAAGACGGGAGCUGAGGCCGGCGGCGCCCUUCACACAAGCCUCAUCGGCGGUGCCCUCUACACAAGCGUCACCGGCGGUGCGGCGGGAGAGCUCCUACCCGUCCAUAGGUGCGGGGAUGCAGAUCCGCGUCGCCAGCCUGUAUUAGGCCGAGGUUGACGCGCCGGCGCAGGGGUCACCGUCCAUCUUCGUCAGGACUCCAGAGUACUCCAGCAACAGCCACUGGACGACAGGAAGUCCGUGUGCUCGAUUUGAGUGUGACAGGUACGUCGUUGUGUGCUUCUCAGUACAGUAGAUUUACCACGCGGGGUGGUGACUGGGAGGCUGGGACAUGCUGGCACGGUCAAACAGCCGGUUGACUGCGAUCAGGGUGCUAGAGGCUCUUGGGGUCGCAGCCCGCUCGCCUGCUGGACGUAUAAUGUUGAUUAUUUAGAGACCUCAUCUUCAUGAGACUAGCAAGGGAUGGACAUUCUGAAGAAGAAGAGAUGAGGUGAGUUUCUGAAGUUCACCGUCCAAUCCAAGUAUUAAAGGUCCCUGCACUUCCGUUGACGAGUAUUUUGUCAGCAUCUCGAUGCGGAGGUACAACUUCUAGCUGAUCUUCGUCAUGUUUUACAUUGUUUCUCGGUACUUUUUACUGCAAUGUGGAGGUCAGAUUCUAGCUGAUAUAUCUUCAUGCUUUACCUUGUU